GCACUAACAGCUACUGAGAGUAACGUUGUUGAAUGUAAAAAAAUUCAUUACAUGGUGGCUGAUCACAAAUUACAUAAAAUAGAUGAUUAUAUAUGUGUGAACCUCAUGUACUUUGAUGGUAGUGUCGCAAAUUGCAGGUUAUACUUUCUGUCCUCAAAAGAAUUUACAAAGAUACGCCCAGCAAGGCAGCAUAAAUGUUGGAUUUGGCAAAGUCAAAUGCCAAGAAUGCACACAUACAUUUUUAAGGCAAUGUUAUUUCCAACCAAAUGGCAUGCACGAUGGUUGGCCUUUUUAUCCUGGAGAUGAAUUCAUCAAGAUCAUCUUGUAGACCAUCCAUCACUUUGUUUUGCCUACAAUUUCAGUAUGUACAAAUACAACACCAUUCAGCAGGAUGAACAUGCACAAAACAGAAACUAAAAGACAAGUUUGGAGUUGUACAUUUCAAACUCAAAAAGGAUAUUUAUCUAUUUUCUAAAAAGAUUCCUUUAUAGUUUAUUUUUCCCGGUCAGUAAAAGUAAGUAGGAAGACAAGAUUAAUGUGGAAGUUUUUUUUUUCUCUUUCUCUGUUCUUGUGAACUGCAUGAGUGAUAAAAUAAUUUAUUUUGUUUUAAGCACUAAAAUGUUACUUGAGCACACAAGCGAUAAUAUUUGCAUUCAGUUUAUAAAUCAUGACAAUGUUUCCUUUGGUGGAAACCAUGUGUGCAAUAUAUGACAGUUUUAUAACAUGAUUGCAUCAGCAAGGAAAGUAAUAUGUAAUUACAGAGAGCUACACCCAUAUAUGUCAUCUCAAAAUCCAUAUUCCAAUGAACUGUCAUUGUCUUGCUCUCCUUCCUAUAGUAUUUGUAAUUCUCUUGCAGGAAAGCUUCACUAAACAGUUGAAACUUGCAGGUACCAUUCAAGAGAAAACUCGAUACAUUUUUUUCUAUGCAUUGACUAUGGCUAAAUAUCUAAUCAGUAGCUAAAAACUCUGAAUGUGACAAGCUCAUAUAACCAAAUUAUACCGUAUGUAGUGACAUAAGAUACUUUGCAUAUAGUUGUUGUAAGUAGCAUGGUCGCUAAGAAAAUAGUGUUAACAUCCAUCCACAUGUGAACUUGAGUCAUCGGAGGAAAUAGAACUUGACUUCGUAUAGCCACUCAAGUUUGAGAUAUCUGCACACAACAAUGUCCACAUGAUCAAGCUUGCUGGAACAAAAUAUCUCUAUACAUAACAAAGCUAGUGUGGUACAAUUUGGAAGUAAACUUAUAAUGACAAGGCCAUAUAUAUGAUUAUUAAAAAAGGAAAGUCAUACCACACAGCUAUAUACAGUGGCGGAAACAAGCCUAGGGAAAAUGGGGCUAUAGCCUUAGGUGUAGUGACAAUAGUCAGUGUAAUAUCUUCUUACGAAGUACAAAAAAAAUCUAAACUACACCAUUCAAUCUAAUUUAGCCCUAGGCGUAACCCAUGCUAGUUCCGCCUCUGGUUAUAUAUAUGAAUUUCGACAGCUAAUAUAUUUUGUUUGCAUGGCACUGUGAAGGAUAAGAGGAAAUACAUUUAUUUAACAUCAAAGUGGUAAAUCACUUGUUACCACUAUAAAGCUGAAAAUGUCAGAGUCAACUUUUAAGACCCAUGCAUAUGGCUCCUACAUCAUAGCACCAUAAAUAUGAUUUUCCAUAUCAGUCAGAACAUGACUUUCAGUUAUAUUCAUUGCAUAAACUGUUACAAUGGUUGAAGUAGUGCGAUUAUCUCCAUAAUACAUUAGUGAUCUCUCAGUAAAAGAUGUAGGAGUAUACAUACCAGGAAAACGUGAGUGGGCAAAAUCACCCAGCUAGAUUAUGGGCUUAUCAUUUUUCGACACAAGCUCCACAUAAUCACAUGUUGUGUUCACAUAUUGAUAGUUAAACAUGACUUCAUGAUAGCCAUCAACAACAGAAUUAGCAUAGCCAUCACAUUGUUGCGGUCUUCAUGCCUUAAACAUUUGACUACCAUUGUUUUAAACAUCCCUANNNNNNNNNNGGCCAUCAACAACAGAAUCAGCAUAGCCAUCACAUUGUUGUGGUCUUCAUGCCUUAAACAUUUGACUACCAUUGUUUUAAACAUCCCUAUUUUACAUUCUACUACUGUUAAAAUGCAGAAGGCACUGUUUUGCUUCAUUAUCGAGAACAAAUUGAACAAGCAACACUGUUUUGCUUCAUGAUUUUCGUAUGAACCAGAAGGCACCUGCUCUUAAGGAAGGAUCUACUUGAGCUACAUAAGGCUCCAUGUUCUCCUAAAAUCCUUAAACUUUUUUUAAACUAAAUCCUAGGAAAGUUGAAACCGGAAGUAAAGAACCCAAGCAUAGAGGAUAAAACUAAUCGGAAAAAAGAGAAUGUUCAAGAGUCAAUAGUAAAAUCAAAUAGGUCAUGGAGAUUUGAGAACACCUCAACUUUGCACCAUCGAGAAGAA
rnacentral:lncRNA from 1 species